rnacentral:tRNA from 1 species
GGUCCCGUAGGCUCAGCAGGAUAGAGCACAGGAUUCCUAAUCCUGGGGUCGUGGGUUCGAAUCCCGCCGGGAUCACCA